rnacentral:tRNA from 1 species
GGGGUCCUAGUAAACAAAUUACAUAGUCUUGUCAGCACUAAAUUAUAGGCCCACCCCUAUGAACCCCA